rnacentral:misc_RNA from 1 species
GGUUUCUAUACUUGCACCUUUCUUUUUUAAACAAUUCUGUAUAUGAUUGAGAAGUUUGUUCAUUAUUAAGUGAUUGAAUGUGCCAACGUUGAUUUUAGAACAAAAUUGUAGCGAGUCCCUUAGCACUGUGUGAUUGUUUCUAUCACCAAGUUAUAAUGGGGGCUGGUGCUUAUUGUGUAUGAUUUUUAUCUGAUCAUCUCCUUAAUACAUGGAUAUACUUGUAAUUAUUUGAGUGUUGGGACUAUUGAAACACUAACAUUUCAAACUUAAUUCAAUUUCUUACCAGAAUGGAGGAUAAAAGAUUUACUUGGAUAAGAUUUUAAGUAAAAUGAAUGGAUUUCUGUGGAAGUCACCUAAAUGGUUGAUUUUUACAAAAUACAUC